UUUAGUAACAUAUGAAAGAAACUUAAGUUAUCCAUUAGUGUUCUCUAUGGGGACUUCCAAACUGGAACACACAUGCAUUUAACAGAGAUCUGGGCCAUACAAACCUUUGUUAACAAAUUAAUUAAUUAAUUAAUUAAUUAGAAGCACUUAUUUUUGUGUUGAUAUCAUUCUACAUGGCCUCUGGUUUAUUUUCUGCUUGCAGAUCUAUAUGGUAGUUACUCAUUUAAUUUUAUGAGAAACUAUGAAGGUGUCUUCUAGAGUGGUUGUUCCAUUUUAUAUGCCUAGCAGUGAUGGAUGAGGGACCAAUUUCUCUGCAUCCUCUCCAGCACUUCAUGUUUUUGUUUGCUCAGUCAUUUUGAUCCAUAUGUGAUGACUUCUUAUUAGUGCUUUCUAGAAAUAUCUAGUGAUACAAAGUCUCACAGUUUCUUCUUUAAAAUAUUUUAUGUGUAUGGGUGUUUUGCAUGCUUGUAUGUCUGUGUACCACUUGCAUGCCUGGUACCCACAAAGGCCAGAAGAUGGCUUCAGAUCCCCUGAAACUGGAGUUGCAGGAGCUUGUGAAUUGCUACCAUAUGGAUGCUGGAAAUUGAAUCUGGGUCCUCUGGAAGAGCAGACAGUACUCUUAACCACUAAGCUAGCUCUCCAGCCCUGCCAUUUCUAAGAGAGGCUUCCAUUUCCUCUGCAUGAAGUGAUCUGUCACUUGGUAGCAUCCUUGCCCUGCCCUCUGUUCUACCUUUCGGAGCUUCUCUCUCCUUCCCUUGUCCCUCUCCUGUUUCUUCCCCAUACUAUAAUAUGCUGUGUGUUUCUAAGAUUGCUGUUCUCAGUUAUUCAAUUAUCUAUGCAAAAUCAUGUUUAAAGACUUCUGUCAUUAUUCUUUCUCUUUUUUCUUUUACUUAGUAAAUCAUCUUUCUUUAACUCCUAUUACAGGUGACACUCUGCUCUAGGCUUGCUCAAGGAAAUAUGGACAAAUAAAAUAAGGUUCCGUUUCAUGAGAAAACCCCAAUACAAUGCGAGGGAAGACACAUGAAAAAUGCUCUAUACUACAUGAGAUAGUUAAUAUUAUUUGUAUGUAUGCUAUGCAAAUGUGUAUAUAUGAAAAGAGGAAUGAAUGUACAAUCAGUCAGACUUGAAAUAAUCCAUCCUGACAAUAGUUUGUUGAGCUAUGCAGUUUCCACAGGCUGGAGAUACCCAACCCUCAAACAAAAUUACCAACCAUAUAUUUGUGGAACCCAUCCCAACAAAUAGUAUGCAUCAGACACAAAGGUAUUUAAAUCAUCAUAAUAAACUAUGAGGCUAAAACAAAAUACUGUAAAUAAGGAACAAAUGCUCUACAUUGGCACGCUCAUGAUUAUAGAAUAGUUUUCCUUUGAAGUACUUUAUUUAAUGGGUUUGCCUUACUUUAUACAAUCAUAAAGCAAAAUUAACUUUAAAAAGUAAUGCCUAAAGCUUUUAAAUAUACUCAAACGAAGUCAAACUGAUUAUGCAUAUACUUGGAUACCUAUUGCCUUAAUUAGGGUUUUACUUCUGUGAACAGACACCAUGACCAAGGCAUGUCUUAUAAAGGACAACAUUUAAUUGGGGCUGGCUUACAGGUUCAGAGGUUUAGUGUAUUGUUAUCAAGGUGGGAGUAUGGCAAUAUCUAGGCAGCCAUGGUGUAGGCAGAGCUGAGAGAUCUACAUCUUCAUCUGAAGGCUGCUAGUGGAAGGCUGGCUUCUAGGCAGCUAGGAUGAGGGUCUUAAGCUGAUGCCUACAGUGACACACCUACUCCAACAAAGCCAAACCUCUUACCAGUGCCAUUCCCUGAGCCAAGCAUAUACAAACCAUCACAAUCUGAAGGGAAAAAAAUACAGCAACUGUUAAAAGUUCAGGGAUUAGUUGAUGACAAUGUUGUGUUUUGUUUUCUGAGGAUGUUUUCUGUGUGCUUUGGGGACUGAGCAAAAAUAAACAUAAGGAAUGUUCUAUUUAUUGCCUUUCCAUUGUCACUAACUGGGAUAUGAAAGAAGGAAGGUCAACAAUACAGCAAAAGGCACAGAAAUUACCCUCACAUGUCAAGGCAUUUUGAAGGUGCAUUAUAGGUUCAUAUAGUCUUCUAUCUUUUGUGUAUGCUUGAAACAGUCCAUAGCAAGUGUUCGAAAAUUGAAGAGGCUAUGCUAAUGCGGGGAGCAUACUUUUCUAUGGGUGUUGGAAGAAGAGAAUUCCAUAUGUCAGUUAACAGAGACUAUGCAAAUGUAGUACUUCUAUAAGAGGGCUGGAUGUGAGCAGGAUCUGGAAAUACUGUGUCUAUAAUCAGUACUUGGAAAGGAUAAGAAUCCAACACAUUUGACUAAUGACAUGAACUUUAAAAUCCAGCAAAAUAAAUAUAAUUAUCCUUUAGGAAAUGAUUACUGCAGAGACCUACUGCUAAGAAGUUCAACAUUUGGCUUCCAAGUUCGUGCUUG
rnacentral:lncRNA from 1 species